CUGUGAACACAUCUGAGAUGGGUGUGCCUGAAAUAAAUACUAUCAUCCUCUUGGACAGAGAGGUGGAUAUGAUCACUCCAAUGUGUUCGCAGUUAACAUAUGAAGGGCUGCU